rnacentral:rRNA from 1 species
AAAGGAAUAGACGGGGGCCCGCACAAGCAGUGGAGCAUGUGGUUUAAUUCGAAGCUACGCGAAGAACCUUACCAGGGCUUGACAUAUUGAUUAAGGCCGUAGAGAUACGGAGAUAAUAAUCUAUACAGGUGGUGCAUGGUUGUCGUCAGCUCGUGUCGUGAGAUGUUGGGUUAAGUCCCGCAACGAGCGCAACCCUUGUCCUUAGUUGCCAUCAUUUAGUUGGGGACUCUAAGGAGACCGCCGGUGCAAAUCGGAGGAAGGUGGGGAUGACGUCAAAUCAUCAUGCCCUUUAUGUCCUGGGCGACACACGUGCUACAAUGGCCGAUACAAAGAGCAGCGACACCGCGAGGUCGAGCGAAUCUCAUAAAGUCGGUCUCAGUUCGGAUUGGAGUCUGCAACUCGACUCCAUGAAGUCGGAAUUGCUAGUAAUCGCAGAUCAGCCAUGCUGCGGUGAAUACGUUCCCGGGCCUUGUACACACCGCCCGU